rnacentral:lncRNA from 1 species
GAUCCACAACCAAUAACCCCCAUUCCCGACCCAUUCGCACAAAAAACAUGCGAUACAUACACUGAGAUCCAAACGACCAAAAUCCCUAACCCAAACGCACACUGUUCAUCCUCACCAAAUUGCACGAAUCCCUUCCCAAAAUUGCUAAGAUUUUGAGUGAGUGAGUCUCGAAAACCCUCCUCACACGUCCCUCCUUCACUCGCUCAGGUCAGAGAUUUAGCACGCGAUUGGAAGGUCCUAGAGACGAAUCGUUGGAUGAGGAUGAGUCGUUGGAUUGACUUCAUUCAAUCCAAUCCCCAUUUUCAUCAGGGGUUCGUCUCUAUAAAGGAC